rnacentral:rRNA from 1 species
GAUGAACGCUGGCGGCGUGCCUAAUACAUGCAAGUCGAGCGACAAGAUGAGGUGCUUUCUCCUCUUACGUUCGAGGCGCAAACGUGAGUGAAAUGUGGCUAACCUUCCUCUAUAAUUGGGGUUAAUUAGGGGAACCGGUGGCUAUAACGGCUUAUAACUUGAACGGGAUGGUUCAAUAGUGCAAGACGUCUUUGCUUUCAAUUAUCCGUGGUUCGAUGUCGGAUUAGCUAGUUGGUAAGGUAACGGCUUACCAAGGCGACGAUCAGUAGCUGACCUGAGAGGAUGAUCGGCCACACUGGAACUGAGACACGGCCCAGACUCCUACGGGAGGCAGCAGUGGGGAAUCUUGGACAAUGGGCGAAAGCCUGAUCCAGCAACGCCGCGUGUGUGAAGAAGGCCUUCGGGUUGUAAAGCACUGUUGUCAGGAAAGAAAUGGUUCUGGUUAAUACAUGGGGUCGAUGACGGUACCGGAAGAAUAAGGACCGGCUAACUACGUG